CCUACGGGAGGCAGCAGUGGGGAAUAUUGCGCAAUGGGCGAAAGCCUGACGCAGCGACGCCGCGUGAGGGAUGAAGGUCUUCGGAUCGUAAACCGCGGUCAGCAGGGAAGAACGGUCACUGUGCUAAUCAGCAGUGAAUUGACGGUACCGGCAAAGGAAGCACCGGCUAACUCCGUGCCAGCAGCCGCGGGAAUACGGAGGGUGCGAGCGUUAAUCGGAAUUACUGGGCGUAAAGCGCUCGUCGGCGGUAUGUCAAGUCAAGGGUGAAAUCCCCGCGCUCAACGUGGGAACUGCCUUUGAAACUUGCAAUCUGGCGUGUGUGAUAGGAUAGUGGAAUUCCCGUUGUAGGCGUUACUUCCGUAGAUCUCUGGCGGAACAUCAGUGGCGAAGGCGACUCUCUGGCACAUACCUGACGCUG
rnacentral:rRNA from 1 species